GAGAGCCGGAUACGCUGAGAGGUGUAAGUCCGGUUCGGAGGGGAGUUCUCGGAAACCUGCCAUAGUGAUAUGGUAAGGCGCCGGGUUCUUACCCUAC
rfam:Faecalibacterium prausnitzii A2-165 genomic scaffold Scfld3, whole genome shotgun sequence.